rnacentral:lncRNA from 1 species
CAUCUGAGGGAGCGAAAAGAAAUGGCUCCCUUUGAGUAUCGGAGAGGAAAUCUGCACAUGGAUGGGAAAAAUGCACAACAGCCCUAAACACAACAAGACACUUUGAGGACACAAUUACUUCAACAACAAAACACCAGUGAUUGGUAAUGGCCUUAUCUCGCUGCUCCUCUCCAGGUUUUUUCCUUCCUCCCCCUUAUCAUCUAUGUGCUAGCAAGGCAGCCUGGGGCUCUCCAUGUUGAACACAUUGUGUUGGCCAACAGCCUAAUAAGGGGAUCCAUGUGACUGCCUCCUCUCUUCCGGUGACUAAUGUGAACGCUGCCCAGGACUGUGUGGUGCUGCUGGCCCACGUGUGGUGGUAGAGUACGGGCAUCAAGAAGGGAGAGGGAUGGUGAUGGUAGAGCUGCAUUAUGGAGAGUAUUAAAGAACGAAGGCAUUUAUUUUUUUUCCCUGAAAAAAAGUCACAAUACCACAUGGAUCAUUGAAUUAUCAUGCUGGACUGUAGUGAUGGGGGGAAAAUAGACAGUUACAUAUCGGGAUAUUCUUUUUGCCGAUAUAUUGUAUUGUUUUGACAAUAUCGCAAUAUUAUUUUUUGUGCUAGUUGGCUGUACCUGUACCAAAACUCCAGUAUUUUUCCUUUUUUCAAAACUCUCGCUUGUCCCGCUGCAGAAGACAUAUGUGCUUGGAGAGACAACCAAAGGACUUGACCCAAAUUCUCUGAACAAGACUACUGUCCAACAACAACAACAUGGAUUUCUGUUAGUGUCCCUCCCUGAGAGCCUUGAAGGCCUUCUCCUAAUCAGGGGAAAUUUGGUAUCUCCCAGCCCUGGGAGCUGUCACAGCUAAAGGGUAGAGGUCAAGAGGAGUGAGACGAGUCCUAACAGACGCGGCAACCUGUUCCCUUCAGCCACGCCUUGCUCAGCUGCCACCACAAAGGUCCCCUGCCUUCACACAGAGGCAGCCGCCAGAAACGACACUCGGAGACUACCACACAGCAGAAUGACCAACCUAGGAGGCGCCAGACAUUUAGUCUAGGCUGAGACAGAAUGAGACAUAACGUUUAUACUCAAAGGUUUAUCAACAGGAUGUUGUUUUGAUUGUGAACAGAUUAGGACAUUUCAAUAAAACCAAUGCCUGUGGUCUCAUUAUUUUGUAAAGACAAAUAAUGGAAUCAAUGUAAGUUGUAGAAUCAUG